GAUGAACGCUGGCGGCGUGCCUAAUACAUGCAAGUCGAGCGAACAGACGAGGAGCUUGCUCCUCUGACGUUAGCGGCGGACGGGUGAGUAACACGUGGAUAACCUACCUAUAAGACUGGGAUAACUUCGGGAAACCGGAGCUAAUACCGGAUAAGAUAUUGAACCGCAUGGUUCAAUAGUGAAAGACGGUUUUGCUGUCACUUAUAGAUGGAUCCGCGCCGUAUUAGCUAGUUGGUAAGGUAACGGCUUACCAAGGCAACGAUGCGUAGCCGACCUGAGAGGGGGGUCGGCCACCCUGGAACUUGGCCGCCGUCCAGGCUCCUGCGGGAGGCAGCAGUAGGGUAUCUUCCGCAAUGGGCGGAAACCUUGCGGAGCAAGGCCGCGUGAGUGAUGAAGGUCUUCCGAUCGUAAAACCCUGUUAUUAGGGAAGAACAAAUGUGUAAGUAACUAUGCACGUCUUGACGGUACCUAAUCAGAAAGCCCCGGCUAACUACGUG
rnacentral:rRNA from 1 species